UGCCGCUGGCAGUCGCGUGUCACCGCUCGCCGGUAGACAGAUAGCCUCUGACAAGCAGUCGCUCCAAGCCCUCCCGACGACGAGGUUCCCCUUGUUUCCGGCUCGCUCCGCGUAAAUCCUCCAUCGUCGAACUAGGACGCAAUUGAGAGCGAUUGGAAGUCACCUGGCACGUGCACAGAGUCCACGUGAACAUUCCCGAGAUAUCUGCGAGAAAAUACAAACAUUGUACGACAGGCUAGUCAAGGGAACGUCGAGGAUAAUCUCCAUAAGAAGAUCAUUUCUAAAAGAAGGAAAAAAAAUAAAGGACCAGUCCGCGUCCCACUGAGAAUAAUAAACGUAGAAUGUUCAAAUGCUGCUGGUACUCGUGGAGGAUCUGGGACAACAUAAAGCCGCGCGGGGAUUUCGGGAUUUGCGGCUGUAGUCCUUAAAUCUCGAACGUGGAAGCUUCUCAAAGUGACGGAAACGAUUACUUUGAAAAUUGUGCUUUAGAGAACGGAUUCGCAAACGCGAUUUUCAAAUUGGGUUUACGAGUUGUUAGGACUCUCGUGUAGAGUGGCCUGUCACGGAAAGAACUGAAGCGUCGAGAGGUUUAAGGGGAUUUCACGGUUUCCUCUGAGUUGACGCAGAGUUUACGAAAACAAUCGAACAGUGAUUACGGAGGAAUGCGAGUUUCCCUGUCUAUCGAGAGGACGAGCAACAAGAACCUUUGUCCAGGAGCAAUUAACGUGGGGAAGAAGGGACUCGAGUCAAGAUUGAAGACACCCCGUUCAUAUUCGUCGGAAACUUGGAAGCUUCUCGGGGAGUUUCUGAUAGCCUCAAGAGCGUCGUAUUGUAAAGCUAUUGAAGUCGACGGGAGGCUCUUUGUUCGUCGCUUACAGACAAGUUCUGACGAUGGUUCGGGAGACAAUGGACGAGAAUUUCAUCUGCAACUGUUAGCGCCGAGGCUGUCUGAUAUCCCGUCGGCGGUAGUUCGAUAACUGACACCGCAUUCCGAGUUUGUCCAGUAGCCUCCCCCAGGUGACAUUUCCAAGUGUAUCGAGCGUAUACAAUAAUCGUUUGAUAAAUGACAGUGUACGGUGGAGAGGAUCCGAGGAAGAUUUACCAGAAUUACACAGGGAGGGAAGGUACCGCGCGGAACGCAUAUUAUUCUACGAAGUAUUAAUGAGAAACGCUCCGAAAGCGGAUUAAGCCCUCGUUCCUAAAGGGAAUGGCUUCCAGGCGUCGUAAGUCAAUUUCAAUUUCCCCCCAUUCGCAGAAAUUACACGAUUGCUUCUCUGAGAAUUUAACGGGUGUCUGAGGCUCAGAGGAAGAGGCCUAGGAGCACCGGGAAGCUCUGAUGAAAUCCUUCUAUAGAAUAAGAACUCAAGGAGCCCGUCGAAUAACAGUCCCAUCUGUUCACUAAACCGACGUACGUUCAACGUUCGAACAAUCGCCGGGAUACAUCGUCAGGCAUAUUUUUAAUGAACUGGAAACUUUAGAGGAGGUCAGAUUAAGCCGAAGAAGGAGUAUGUACGAGGAUUAAGCAUACGGUACGAUAGAUUCGCUAAUGUUCACGGUCCUCAGCGGUACACUCGGCCACAAGGCCGAAAAGGAGUCUGAAAGGAUUAAUCUAGCUCCCUUUAAUGGCGAAGGGUCUUAAGGGAUCACUGGCAUUUCUCGAGGGUACCCUUUGCGGUGGAAGAAUAUCUUUGGUCGCCUUUUCUUCGAGAACGCGGGGGAAAUAAUUGCGUGUCGGACGUUCAGUGAAAAAACAGACCCCGUCGGGAUUAAGCACGUGUCUUUUCUAGGAGUACGUGAGCGGAAUGGAGUCCUAGUCGCACCGGCCUCGCCGAGUCGGGCACUUGGGGUUUAUAAGUGACCCGCGGGAAAAAUCUGGACAGUCUUCGGUGAAAGUGCUCGCACGAUACACAUUUGUGCUCUUCGCGGAGAAGGAGAUAGGGAUAGGUAAUAUAGUCGGCAAAAAGGGACUUGGUGUAACGGAGAGUGGCUUCUAGAGACGCUCGCAAGUAAUUCUUAGACGCUAGAUAUAUCGAGGACUACGGUUGUAAAGUUCCUGAUUUAAGUUACUUUUAAAUCUCGAGAUUAAUAUUUUGGAAAGUCGACGCGCAACGGUGAUUCGUGUUUCCGCGAGAGAAAAAGUGGGAUUAAAUAAUGGACACGUCGCGUAAAUAAUUCUGGAGGCUAGACAGAACGAAACGUAGAGUUAUGUGGUGCUUGGUUUAAAUUAUUUCGCGCCUCUCCACUGUUUGUAUAAAAUCUUGACGUUAACAUUGCGGAAAAGGGUCCGUGUAAAAAGGUGGUUUGUGUUUUUAUCGAAACAGAGGAGUAAAUAGUUUUUAAUUCGGUUUCUCAACUCGAAAGCAUCGAUUUAAAAUCAACAGAGUAUUUAGUAUUUGAAGAUAUUCUCAGUUAGGGUUUAUUUAGGAGCGUCUCAAUGAAUCACUCAGCGUCUUCAAUAAUUCUGGAGACCUAACAUAACGAAGAACAGGGGUUGCAUGGUUCCUGCUUUAAAUCGCACUCUCUACGAAACCAAAAAUAAAAACUAACGAGAAAGACGCCUUUUAAAUACUUCCAUGAAACGAAUAUACGUAAAAUCUCGAUGUAAUUUUCUGUGGAGGCCAAAACACAAACGACCAGGUGUUAUAAAUAAUCUGGAGAUCUAGCAUAGCGAAGAAUAAGGGUUGCAUCGCACUCACUACGAAACGAAAAAUAAAAUCUAACGAGAAAGAGGUUUUUGAAAUACUUCCAUGAAACGAAUAUAUAUAAAAUCUUGAUGUAAUUUUCUGUGAAGGCCAAAACACAAGGGACCAAGUGUUAGAAAGAAUCUGGAGAUCUAACAUAGCGCAGAAUAGAUGUUGUAUCGCACUCUUUACGGAACCAAAAAUAAAAUCUAACGAGAAAGAGGUUCUUGAAAUACUUCCAUGAAACGAAUAUAUAUAAAAUUUUGAUGUAAUUUUCUGUGAAGCCCGAAGCAACGGAUAUUCCCAUUCAAACUUCCUAAAGUCUCAAGAAGCAAAGGUCACCCGUGCUUUUGCGACAGCAAAUUUCGCGCGAGUUUGUGUACAAUUUUGGCCCGUCCCGUUAUCCCCUUCCCUCAAAUUUUCGAGAUUGAACGCGCUCGGUUGGAAAAGGCACGGUGGUGUUUACGUUCUCGCGGCAACUUGGUCGCAGUCGGUCAUGGGCUCGCUACGGGAUAACGAGACAAACUACGACACUGGUAAUCACGUGUUGAACGCUUUGAACUAUAUUAACAAGUUGAACGAGUCGCUGAGCGCAGAGGAGAUCAAGUGUCUGAAACUCCAACACCAAGAGCUGGAGUGGCUGUCCCUUGGAAAGCUGGAGGAGCAAUCGGGAUGCGAAGUUAGCUGGGACUCUUUGCUGUGUUGGCCCAGGACGCCUGCGGGUGCUGUGGCCACCUUGCCCUGCCUAGAGGAGCUGAACGGGAUCAAAUACGACAGCACACAAAACGCGAGCCGCUGGUGCAAACCUGAUGGCGUCUGGAGCAACUAUACCAAUUAUAGCCUCUGCAGCGACGUAAGGGAGCCCGCGAUCGAGGGUGGAACCGAAGUCAUCUCAACGACUAUUUAUUUCGUCGGAUACAGCCUCUCCCUGCUCACCCUCGUUCUCGCAGUCUCGAUUUUCCUUUACUGCAAAGAGCUGAGGUGCCUCAGAAACAACAUCCACACGAACUUAAUGUUUACUUACAUCCUCGCAGACAUGAUGUGGAUUCUGAACAACGUGAUGCAGGUCUCCAUGCAGCCGGACGUGCCGACCUGCAUCGUUUUCCUCUCUUUGCUUAACUACUUUCAGCUGACCAAUUACUUCUGGAUGUUCGUGGAAGGCUUGUAUCUGUUCGUGCUCGUCGUGAAGACGUUCACUGGUGAUAUUAUCAAGCUGAGGCUGUGCCUAGUGAUAGGAUGGGGUAUGCCGGUCCUCUUUAUUGCCGUUUGGGGUAUCGCGAAAUCGCUCGAUCAGAGCAUCAUGGCCCACGCGAACCAGGAAGUCGCGCUGGGGAAGCAUUGUCCCUGGAUGGUGUCGCAUCCUUACGACUGGUUUUAUCAGGGCCCGGCCAUUUUGGUCCUCUGCGCGAACGUGGUGUUCCUCUUCAUGAUAAUGUGGGUCCUGAUAACGAAGCUCUGGUCCGCAACGAACGCGGAGACGCAACAAUAUUGGAAAGCGAGCAAAGCACUCCUGGUCCUGAUACCUCUCCUCGGAGUGACUUACGUGCUCGUCCUGAUGGGACCCACGGAGGGUCAGGUUGCUAAUGCAUUCUCCUACGCUCGCGCUGUAUUGCUUUCUUCCCAGGGCCUUUUCAUUGCGCUAUUUUAUUGUUUCUUGAACGCCGAGGUUCAAAAUACAGUGAAACACCACAUCGAACGAUGGACCACGGCCCGCGAUCUGGAUACCGAAAGAAGGUAUUAUAACAAUUGGUCACCCCGUUCGAGAACAGAGAGUAUAAGGAGAGUUACCUAAUUACUAUUUUAUUCUAAAAACAUUCCAUUUAGACAUUUCUAAAUCACCUUCGAAGUUGUACUGCCCCCCGUCGAAUCUAUAUAGAAAAAGAGAUUCCUCUGUAAGCGAGACAACGACCACGACCGUAGUAGGUAUGAAUUCGACGACCACGUUUCUGGACAAAACAAAGAAGGCGAUCUCGGAGGAUCUCAACG